AUGGUCUCAGUUCUUCGGCUUUGGAGAUGUACCGGGGGAAGGAAAGCAGGCUUUUGUCGUGCUCCUCGUCACUCUUCUUUCUCCAAGUUUGACCGCAUCUCCCACUCCAGCAAUGCCCUCUGUGGGGAGUUUUCCAUCUCCAAUGAUCCUGAGCAUCCCGCCCUGCCCAUCAGGAAGUUCCUGUUUCAAAAUGUCUGUGUGGAGACUGAACGAAAGGCACCAGCUGGGGCUCCUGUACAAGAUUUCUGUCCUUCUGGAGGAUCAGAGAGCUAUUUUAAGGGCAGAGCCACUGGGGAAGCAUAAGACAGCCAGCAGUCACCAACCCCUAAAGAGGCUGGCACCUGGUUUGCCUGACCAAAGCCUCUCACAAAGCAGCCCAUUCCACACGGGUUUGGCUUCUAAUAUGGGUUAGGGCAUUUUUUUCUCACAUACAAAGAAAUGCUGGAGGGAACCUGCCAGCACCAGAUGUUCUCUGUGGUUCUCCCUCCUUCCCAGCAGCAGGCAAGGUCUCAGUGGUAUGGGGGACAUUUCAAGCAGAAACAUGCAAGCCAUUCAACCAUUAAGCCGUUUAACCUUUAAAGACUAAAGCUAAGUGACACAGCUAAUCCACCAGUGAAAGUCUGUGUGUUCUUUGUCUCCCCCAUAAGAGUAACACUCCAGUCGUUGCAGAACACUGAUGGUAAGCUGCAUUAUUUCCAAUUUCAUGGUGGAACUAGUUAAAAGUUUUUAGGCUAUACUCUAGAUGUAACAUUAAAUACAGCCACUGCUAAUAACUUAGCUUAAUUAUUAGCUGAUUUAUUCAUAUACAUGCAGGCAGAAGAUUUCAAUUAUUUUUAAUUAUAUGGAAAGUUCCAAGUGUUUUUUUAUUCCAUUAAGAUCAUUCAAAACUCUGUAAAACCUGCAAGUGCUUAAUUCUUUAAAUGACAGUUUUUAAUUAAUUUGAACUCCAGCUAAUUAAAAUAUUUGUAGACUGCAAAAACCUAAUUCGUUUUUAAAAGGCAAGCUUUUACAUCUGCAGCAAAUAUGCUCUAUUUUCCAUUGGGAUUAAAGAUCCAGCCCCUAUUUGAAGUGUAAAACCCUCUUCAGCCUUAACAGUGAAAUUACAAGUGACAGCAGGUAGUAGAAGUGCUCCAUUGGCUUGGGCUGUACCUUACAAACCACCUCCUGAGCAUACCCAAGUCCACUGCUCCCACCACAUGCAUGAAAAUCUGGGCACUGGAGACAGGAACAAGAGCUUCAGCAAGCCUUUGGUGGUAACAACCUUGGCUUAACCCCUCACCUCUCAAAUACUUACCUGUUCCUGCAGCCCUGGAAAAAGGGGGAAACCAAUGGCCCCCUCUGACAGCCACCAACAGCCACCCUGCAACAAAAUUUGUUAGGUACCCCACAGAACUCUAGCCUCAGUGGAUAGCUUCAAAAAGGAAAGGCAAAGGACUUUAAAUUUGUAAGCAACCAAAAUAAGGCUGUGGUUGUGCUAUAGAUGUCUCACCACCCACAGCUACUUUUGUCUUCACUGAUGAUUUCUUAUGUCAUUUGACGAUGGGGAAGUGGCUCUGAUGACAGCCCAACAAGUCAGUAGCUGGCUGCAGGCUGGAUUAUGAAGCCAACACAGGAGUUGUUUUUGCCAUAUUCUGUACCCCAGAGCCCAGGCUUGCUAGCACCUCCAUAAUUUCCAAGCCAGCAUCAUGACAUGGCAUUUCCACCCCAGUGGAACAACCUCUCCAGGGACAGAGGAGAAAGCCCAUUGCUGGAAAGUUGUAGGAUGUGAUUGGAGCAGGAGGAAUACAAUCCCACCUAGGCUCCCUUUCCCAUGAAAGGGUGGACCAGAUGAUCUUUCCGGGUCCCUUCCUACCUGGGCUGGUCUGUGAUCACUAGGGGCACAGAAAAGAAGAAACCUUUCUGUAGAGCAAAACAAAGGCUUCAGGAGGACAAUGCACUGAUCCUACCGUGUGUAGAUUUUGCUGCUUUCAGUCUGCACCGAUUUAAAGGCCUGAAAGACACCAAGCCUUGACUGGCAUGAGCCAAGUUGGAUUUUCAUCAUGACACCUUCACACAGCUGCUGGCAAUGAGCUUCCCUCAUAUACAAAUAUAGCUAAUGUAUACAGUGAUUACUGGCUUGAUUCCUCCAUUUAGAGUGAGCAAUGCAUAUAGCCAUAGUAACCAGCUCCUGCCACCAAGUCUUCCUCUUCUGAAGGCAAUCCAUUUAUGCAUGGCCCUAUGAAGAGGAGUUCACAUUUCUCCUGUCUGGAAGAGCAGGAGAGGGAGUUUAGGCUCUGCAGUUCUGCCACACGCUGCAGAUAUGACAAGGAGUGACCUUUGGCUAUUGUUCUGUAAGUGGUUUUCCAACAUGUCACAUGCAUCUGUUACCCACUUAUCGACUCACUUGAGUCUGUAUAAACCAGCCAAUAUUGUCUUUCCUCGGCAGGGUUAUUAAAAAUGCAACAUGAAUGUGCAGUAAUAUCUCCAAACAAAUUUCUUAGUCAAGGUAUUAAUAGUUAUAAGGUGUUGGAAAAACAUUUUCAACAAGUUAAUGUAGUUUCAUAGGAAAAUAGGCUUGUAGCUAACAUUCACAUUAGCAUUUCUCCUGCCUAAAGGAUAUUGAAUCUGAGGACAUUUAGCUUUUAAUGCUUUAAAGAUAUGAGCAUGCCAGAGCCUUUAACACAAGAUAACAAAAUCCAAUUUCACUUGUCUCGAUCCGCCUUUGUAAGUGUUGCUACUCAAGUGCUGAACUUGAGUCCCAGAUCUGAUCUAAGCUUUAUCCCUUUCUAAAUGGGUAAAAAUAAACACAUCCUUUCUUGCCCUUUAUGGACA
ensembl:lncRNA